rnacentral:rRNA from 1 species
AGCGAACGCUGGCGGCAGGCUUAACACAUGCCAGUCGAGCGGGCACUUUCGGGUGUCAGCGGCGGACGGGUGAGUAACGCGUGGGAACGUGCCCUCUGGUUCGGAAUAACUCAGGGAAACUUGAGCUAAUACCGGAUACGCCCUUUUGGGGAAAGGCUUGCUGCCGGAGGAUCGGCCCGCGUCUGAUUAGCUAGUUGGUGAGGUAACGGCUCACCAAGGCGACGAUCAGUAGCUGGUCUGAGAGGAUGAGCAGCCACACUGGGACUGAGACACGGCCCAGACUCCUACGGGAGGCAGCAGUGGGGAAUAUUGGACAAUGGGCGCAAGGCUGAUCCAGCCAUGCCGCGUGAGUGAUGAAGGCCUUAGGGUUGUAAAGCUCUUUUAUCCGGGACGAUAAUGACGGUACCGGAGGAAUAAGCCCCGGCUAACUUCGUG